AGAGAGAGAGAGAGAGAGGUGGGUCUCUUGCAACCAGAAUCAGGUGGGUACUCAAUGGUUGAAGAAUCAGCUGACUUUAGUCGCUGUGGGAAGAGAAAAUAUAUAGGGAAAGAGAUGAGUCAGAAAAUGGGAUCGAACAGGAAAUUGGUAAAAGAUUUUUAUUUUAGGAGAAACCAAGAGCUCGCUGUGACUACAGCUCUUCGGUUGAUGGUGGAUCAAAG
rnacentral:misc_RNA from 1 species